CCAUUAUGCCCCUAAUUUUGUCCCCUUGAAAUUUUUUAGGAUAAACUUCAAAUACCAUUUUUGUAGUUUCGCACGUUCUUAUUUUAGUAUCAUGUAGUUUAAAGUAUAUCAAGUUUGUGUAACGCCCGAAUAGUCCCACAUCAGAUGGGAUACUGACUUCGAUCAGUUUAUAUGAAGCCUUACACGCUAGUAAUAAUAACAGGAUUUAAACAUUUUGGACCGGUUGUUUGGGCUCAAUGAGUUAUUGUUGCUAGCGGGUCGGAUCGUUGCAGUUAGUGUUCCGUGGUUUUAUUUUUAUCUUUUCGUCGUCAUCUUCUCUAUUAAUAUUUCGUUAAAUUAUAUAAAAAAAACUUCAGAUUUCCCACCUAGGUUUAUUGAAUAUAUUCACUUUAGUACUCCUUAGUUUUAACUUUGUCACUGAUUUAACGAAAAAAAAUUAGUGCAAUCGAUAAUAAAAAAAUAAAAAUAAAACCACAGAACACCAUAUUGAUACACUUUAAAACACAGAAUACUAAAGUGAAAAAAUGUGAAACCACAUAGGUAGUAUUUGAAAUUUUUUCUAUUU
rnacentral:lncRNA from 1 species